rnacentral:rRNA from 1 species
UGGGGAAUAUUGGACAAUGGGGGAAACCCUGAUCCAGCCAUGCCGCGUGUGUGAAGAAGGCCUUCGGGUUGUAAAGCACUUUAAGCGAGGAGGAAGGGUUCUUAAUUAAUACUUGAGAGCAUUGACGUUACUCGCAGAAUAAGCACCGGCUAACUCUGUGCCAGCAGCCGCGGUAAUACAGAGGGUGCGAGCGUUAAUCGGAAUUACUGGGCGUAAAGGGUGCGCAGGCGGCCCCGCAAGUCAGGCGUGAAAUCCCCGAGCUCAACUUGGGAAUGGCGCUUGAAACUACGGGGCUGGAGUGUGGCAGAGGGAGGUGGAAUUCCACGUGUAGCGGUGAAAUGCGUAGAUAUGUGGAGGAACACCGAUGGCGAAGGCAGCCUCCUGGGCCAACACUGACGCUCAUGCACGAAAGCGUGGGGAGCAAACAGGAUUAGAUACCCUGGUAGUCCAUGCCGUAAACGUUGGGUGCUAGACGUCGGGGGUAUUGACCCCUCCGGUGUCGAAGCUAACGCAUUAAGCACCCCGCCUGGGGAGUACGGCCGCAAGGCUA